UUCUGCUGGUUCACUCCCCAAAUGGCCGCAAUGGCUAGAGCUUGGCUGAUCUGAAACCAGGAGCCAGGAGUUUGUUCCAGGUCUCCCAUGCGGGUGCAGGGGCCCAAGCACUUGGGCCAUCUUCCACUGCUUUUCCAGGCCACAGCAGAGAGCUGGAUCAGAAGUGGAGCAGCCGGGACUCGAACCGGCGCCCGUAUGGGCUGCGGCUUUAACCUGCUGCAUCACAGCGCUGGCCCCUCCAGAAAUGCUCUUCUAACCCCUCCACUUCCGUCUUCCCACCCAUGUGUGGGUCGGACACGCCUUCUCCCUUGCCUGGUCUCUGUGCUCCACGCAGAAGCCACAGUGACGCUAACAGAGCCCCCCGCUGCGGCCCUGCCAAGUCCCCAGGCCCUGUGCACCCGCCCCCAGCUUCAGGCUGUGUCGUGCUCCCCUGCACUGGACUCUGCUGCCUCCGGGCCUUUGCACGCCCUGUGCCCUGCUCUCGGAGCGCCCUUCGCUCUCUCCCGCCCCUCAAACGUGGCUGCUGGGGACCCCCCCCCGCAUCUUGGCACAGCGUGUCAUUACUGCUGCUCAGGUCUGAGUGUCAGACCCGCCAGGACUGGACGCGGCCUGCCCGGCUCCCCGCCGCCCGGGGCUCAGGAGUUGUUAAGGGAACUGGGAGUGCGGGGGGUGGCUGGGACUCCGGGGUCCCCGGGCAAACGCUGAGCUGGAGGCUUAGCACACCUGGCUCCCUUCUCUUGGUCUCUACAGGCCCGACCCUGGGCCCCGGGGCCAUUGCUGGCGUCGUCCUGGGCACCCUGCUGGGCCUGGCCCUGCUGGCCGGGCUCCUCGUCCUGUGCGUCUGCUGCCUGCGCCGCUUCCGGGGUGAGCGGGGCCCCUGGGAGGGCGCCUACCUGGCUGAGCCAAUCAGCGCAGUCCUAGGUCAUCCGUCCUGCCUUCCCGCCGCCACAGCAGCCAAUCAGAGCCAUGCUCCACCCCUUGGGCCAGCUUUCCUUGCCAUUGGUUGGGUGGGCCUGUCGAAGCAGCAGCCAAUCGCAAGCCUCUAUUGCUCUCCCUCCGGUUUCUCAGACAAGACGCCUCCGAAGCGGCCUCCCGCCCUGGCCCCCGUGGCCUCCCCGCCCGAGAAGACGCUCCCGAGUGUGGCCCCUGCGCAGCCCCCGCGGCCUCUGGGCUGCAGAGCCCCGCCCGCGGCCCCUGUCCCAGCCAUAGACCUUCCAGGCCCCGGGCCCCGGGCCAGUGCUCUCGCCCCGCGGAGGCCCGAGGACGGUGCGGACGGUGCGGACGGCCACGCAGGUGUGAGGCGGGCGACUUCCUGUUUCUCCCCGAGCCUGCGGGACCAGAGCUGGGACCCAGGAGCGAGACUCCGGCCCCUCCCCCCACGCCCACGGGAGACGGCCCAGCUGACGUGGGCGGGGCCGGGCCCUGCUGCCCGCAGCCAGGCAGGUGCCUGCGAGGGGGCUGGCGCGGCCUCGGACAAGUGCCCCCAGCCCGCCCCGCGCCUCCAUCUGCACAUCACCUCCGUCUUCUUCGGCAGCCCAGGUGGACCCAGACCUCCCAGGGUGCCGGUCAGAGCCUCCCCAGCCCCCGCCGAGCCUCCCCUGGACUGGGAGCCUUCUAGAACGUUCUCUGCCCUGCGUUGGCUUCUCAAGCCCAGCAUUGCCAUCACAGAAGACCCUGCCUCCCCCGUGGGCGUGUCAGGCCCCAGCGUGCCUGGCCCCCGCCUCCCGAGAGCUCCCGAGAGCACCCGACGGCUUGUGUCCCCAGCCUGAGCUUCAGGAAGGCAGAGGCCUGGAGCUGCCCCACCAUGAGCCGAGAGCCCGCGCCUGUUAGCCGGGCAAGGCCCGGGCGCCUGCUGCCCCCUGGCACCCGGCGGCCUCGUUUUUGCUUCUGGUUGGGUUUCUUUUCUUUCUUUCUUUUUUUUUUUUAAGCAUUUUUAACAUAUUUAUUUUCAUUACAUUAGAAAGGCAGGCAGAGAGGGAGAGAGACGGAACGUGGCAGAGGGAGCAGCCAGGGCCGGGGCAGGCCCACGGCCGGGGCCCGAGGACACGCGCCAGCGCCAGCGCCUCCGGGGCCGCACCUCAGCAGGAGGUGGGUGUGGAGCAGAGCCGGGACUUGAACCCAGGCGCUCUCGAACCCAAGUGGUGUCUUAGCCGCUGUACCCCAUGUCCGGCCCUCCGGGUGGGCUUCCCAUCCGGAAUGUAAGGUGCGGACCCGUGAGGAUUCUUUCACUUGCAAGUGAAACACAAGAACAGGACAGACAGGGUGCUCACGUCAGCUGGCCCAGCGGUGGCCUCAGCCGGGCCCGGCCCUGGAGCCGGAUCCGCCACCCUCACUGGGUUGGGACGUUUUCUUUGCGCAUGUGCCUCCUGUUACAAGACGGCUGCUGGAGUCCCACUCUCCGUCAUCACACCACGGCAUCCAGAGACACAGGGAGGGAACAGGGCUGCUUUCCAACACACACACACACACCCGUCUGUGCGUCUCCCUCUCUGGCCGUCGGGCAGGCUCGUCUUGUGAAAGUCGUCAGAACACACAGUCACGUUGUCAAGCCUUAACCAAAAUAAAGCCAGGAGUUGAUUAGAGCUGGGUGGGGGU
rnacentral:lncRNA from 1 species